UACGAGGGGGGCGAGCGUUGUUCGGAAUUAUUGGGCGUAAAGGGUGCGUAGGCGGUUUGAUAAGUCUGAUGUGAAAUCUGUGGGCUCAACCCAUAGCCUGCAUUAGAAACUGUCGGGCUUGAGUAUGGGAGAGGUGAGUGGAAUUUCCGGUGUAGCGGUGAAAUGCGUAGAUAUCGGAAGGAACACCUGUGGCGAAAGCGGCUCACUGGACCAUUACUGACGCUGAUGCACGAAAGCUAGGGGAGCAAACAGG
rnacentral:rRNA from 1 species